AGUGACUGGUCAGACCAUAGAUAAUGUGGAAGACAGCGCGCUAGCGGAGCUAGUCUAUGUAUAUCGAUGGUCAGCACGUCUGGUAGCAUCUCUGGCUGCUGUUGACCUUGUUUUUGGAGUAAAACACGGUGGAAGCUGAAUUAGUGAGGAUGACUCCUGCUCCUGUCAUCUCUAAGCUCCUCCCACAUCUUUACCUGCACAUGAGGAAAAUCACUCCUGUAGAAUGCAGAUGUUCAGAGGGAGAUGAUGCCACAUCUGGUCCAGCUGAUGGAAGGUCUUGAAGUUCUCUGACUGGCCUCGACUGAAGAUGGUCGUCUCACUGGAUUUAAGGUUCAGAUGCUCAGUAACAAACUCCACCAAUGUGCCAACAGGGAAGCUUUAGGUUUAUUAAAUGUUGCUAUGAAGGUAUCGCUGUUUUUCUUUGUGAAUGCAAUGUGCUCCAACUGAAACUUGAAUUAGAACUUAGAAGUAAAUCCUUCCAUCUGUAAGGAUUUAGUUGCAUUAAUAACCUCAUAACAUUCUAAUUUUUAUUCCAGUGUUGGCUGGAAAUAGAAUCUCUGUAUUGAUUCAGGUAAAAACUGAACUUCACAGCAUGUUGAAGCAAAACAACCAGAUGAAAACUGUGAUGGUGUUGGAUUGUCAGACCGUAAUGUUGCAGCUCAAAGCAGCUUUUCUAUCUCAGUUCAUUGUGACAUUCAGCUAUGAAUCAACACAGCAGAUGGUGAUCCAUGCUGUGGAAGUCUCACGUCUCCUGAUUUAAUGGAGCUGCUUUGCACUUUUUACACUGUUUAUUCACCAACACUUUAUUUAAUAAAAGUCCAUCUAGUUUUCAUGAGGAAUGUGAUGUUUUGAUUUCUCUGUGAAUAACUGCAGUCUAAUGGAACAGCUGGAAUUGUAACAUCUGUCCUGAUAUUGAUCAUGAAGUAUUGAUCAGAAUGAUCAGAUGAGUUUGUUUUUACUGCCAGCUACCAUUCAGUCUGAGAUAUUAAGAAUAAUUUAAUGUGCAUAAUGUGGAAAUGAACAGAUUUUAUUUUUAUUUAUUCCUACAGCUGCUGCAGGUUCCAAAGUUCCAAAUUUAGUCUCACAAUCACAGACAACAAAUAUUAUCUGAAAGUCGGGUUAUUGUUGUUUAUCAGCACAAUACAAAAAGAUUAAUGUUAGAAAUAUUCCAGUUAAGACUCUAGAAUAUCAUGAUUUAUGUAAAUUUAACUCACUAAUAUGAAUGUUCAGGUUAACAUAGUGCAGUGAUUUUUAUUAUGCAAGUUUAGCUGAUUAAAGUUUGACUCUGCACUACAAUAUUAUUUAAAUUUACACCAUUAUUAUAAUAUUUAGGGUCAGACCCUACAGUAUUGAGAUUAAGAAAUCAAAUAUUCUAUAAAAUGUAAAUACACUGAACUCAUUUGGAUUUAUUUAAGUGAGACUCUACAAUAUUAUUUGACACAAAUCUAUCUAAAUCAAAAUUUUAAUAAUUUUCAUGCCAAACAUUUACUGGACUGAUUUAAAUAUUAAAAUCACUCCUUUCUAAUCCUCUGCUGUACGUUCAAACCUGAGGCUUAAAUAGAAACACACAAGUAUCUGAUUGAAGGAACUUCUGCAGAGUCCUGGUUCCAGAACAUGAUGAUAGAACUAUAGACAAACUUUAACAAAAGCUGCCUGAGAGUUUACAGGUUUUUAUGUUGGAUUUCUUCAGUAAUUUAAUGAGCGUUAUCAGCAAAAAUCAAGUGUUCAUUUGAUGAACUUCAUUUCCUAAAACAUCCAGAAUUGGAGCUCAUAUCUUUGGCAGCUGUAAAGUUUCUGCUCCUUCAAAGUUCACAACACAAUGAAUGAAUUCCUAAAACACUCUCAAUGCUGGAGAGCGUUUGAUGCUGAAGCAGUGAUCAGUUUUUCUGUUUCUU